UACGUAGGCAGCAAGCGUUGUUCGGAGUUACUGGGCGUAAAGGGUGUGUAGGCGGUUGCUUAAGUUUGUUGUGAAAUCUCCCGGCUCAACUGGGAGGGUGCGCCGAAUACUGAGUGACUAGAGUGCGGGAGAGGAAAGUGGAAUUCCUGGUGUAGCGGUGAAAUGCGUAGAUAUCAGGAGGAACACCGGUGGUGUAGACGGCUUUCUGGACCGUAACUGACGCUGAGACACGAAAGCGUGGGUAGCAAACAGG
rnacentral:rRNA from 1 species